rnacentral:rRNA from 1 species
UUAGUUUACGGCCGCGGUAUCAUAACCGUGCGAAGGUAGCAUAAUAAAUUGUUCUCUAAAUAGGGACUAGUAUGAAAGGCACCACGAGGGCUUAACUGUCUCCCUUUUCCAAUUAAUGAAACUGAUCUUCUCGUGAAGAAGCGAGAAUAAAAAUAUAAGACGAGAAGACCCCAUGGAGCUUUAAACUCAUCAUCAUUUACUUUUUUCACAUCAUCACAUAUAGUAAAAAUGUUAACUGAUAGUUUUCGGCUGGGGUGACCCUGGAGAAAAACAAAUCCUCCAGGAUGAACGGAAUAAUAAUCCUAAUCAAAGAGUCACAACUCUAAGAAUCAAAACAUUGACAUCAUUUGAUCCAAUUACUUGAUCAACGAACCAAGUUACCCUGGGGAUAACAGCGCAAUCCAUUUCAAGAGCCCUUAUCGACAAAUGGGUUUACGACCUCGAUGUUGGAUCGGGGUAUCCCAGUGGCGCAGCCGCUACUAAAGGUUCGUUUGUUCAACGAUUAACAA